AGUGAACGCUGGCGGUAGGCCUAACACAUGCAAGUCGAACGGCAGCACAGUAAGAGCUUGCUCUUACGGGUGGCGAGUGGCGGACGGGUGAGGAAUACAUCGGAAUCUACUUUUUCGUGGGGGAUAACGUAGGGAAACUUACGCUAAUACAGCAUACGACCUACGGGUGAAAGCAGGGGAUCUUCGGACCUUGCGCGAUUGAAUGAGCCGAUGUCGGAUUAGCUAGUUGGCGGGGUAACGGCCCACCAAGUCGACGAUCCGUAGCUGGUCUGAGAGGAUGAUCAGCCACACUGGAACUGAGACACGGUCCAGACUCCCACGGGAGGCAGCAGUGGGGAAUAUUGGACAAUGGGCGCAAGCCUGAUCCAGCCAUACCGCGUGGGUGAAGAAGGCCUUCGGGUUGUAAAGCCCUUUUGUUGGGAAAGAAAAGCAGCAGGUUAAUACCCCGCUGUUCUGACGGUACCCAAAGAAUAAGCACCGGCUAACUUCGUG
rnacentral:rRNA from 1 species